GAUGAACGCUGGCGGCGUGCCUAAUACAUGCAAGUCGAACGCUGGAAAUCUAGCUUGCUAGAUUGAAGGAGUGGCGAACGGGUGAGUAAUACAUAAGCAACCUACCCACGAAGACUGGGAUAAUCUCUGGAAACGGGGACUAAUACCGGAUAGGUAAUCGGAAGGCAUCUUCUGAUUAUUAAAGGUUUAAAACACUGGUGGAUGGGCUUAUGGCGCAUUAGUUAGUUGGUGAGGUAACGGCCCACCAAGACGAUGAUGCGUAGCCGGCCUGAGAGGGUGAACGGCCACAUUGGGACUGAGACACGGCCCAGACUCCUACGGGAGGCAGCAGUAGGGAAUUUUCGGCAAUGGGGGAAACCCUGACCGAGCAACGCCGCGUGAGUGAUGACGGCCUUCGGGUUGUAAAGCUCUGUUGUAAGGGAAGAACGGUAGAUAGAGAAUAUCUAAAUGACGGUACCUUACCAGAAAGCCACGGCUAACUACGUG
rnacentral:rRNA from 1 species